UCCUCUUCUUCCUCCUCUUCUUUCACAAUAACGUUCAACCAAAGACCUUUCUCCGUCCAGCAGACCUCUUCUGUAGCAGGAGGAGAGAACCUUAGUGAGCUCAUGCCUUCCUCUCUUCUGAAGACCCAGUGAGGGUGGAGCUCAGUCACAGAGCUGUUGAGGGACUGAUUAGGAAGAACACUUCUACAGCCAGAGAGGAAGGUGAGGUGCCUGAGGUCCCUCCGCCCCUUCUGGACAUCGAUGGGUCCCCGGCGUGCACAGUACGUGGCAUUCUGGACUCGAGACGCCGGGUGAGGGGCCUACAGUACCUCGUGAACUGGGAGGGGUACGGUCCGGAGGAUAGAUGCUGGGUUCCGGUGGGGGACAUUUUGGACCCUUCUCUGCUGAGAGACUUCCACCGCCUCCACCCGGAUCGCCCGGCGCAUCACCCUCCGGGUCGUCCUCGCGCUGCGGGAGCCGCGCGUACUGUCACGACUUCCGCCGAAGUUGGCUCCCAUGCCUGUUCGGGCUGUGCUCGGCGGUCGUCGUCACCGUCCUACUAGCCGCCACCGAUCUCUUUUUCGUUUGUCUGUUUGUUUUGUCUUAUUAGUUUCACCUGUGUUCUGUUGUAUGGCUUAAUGAGCUUCCCUAUUUUACGUACGUGUCCCGCCUUUGUUUUGUGUGGGAUUGUCUUUUUGUUACGUUUUUGUUACGUGUUACGGACUUGGCACCCUGUGUUUUUGGGUAGUCACUUUGUUUUCCGCGCCCUGUGUUGUUGGGCUUGUCAUUUUUGUGUGCCGUAUUAAAGAGCACUUUU